AUUGAACGCUGGCGGCAUGCUUUACACGUGCAAGUCGAACGGCAGCGCGGGCUUCGGCCUGGCGGCGAGUGGCGAACGGGUGAGUAAUACAUCGGAACGUGCCCAGUAGUGGGGGAUAGCUCGGCGAAAGCCGGAUUAAUACCGCAUACGACCUGAGGGUGAAAGCGGGGGAUCUUCGGACCUCGCGCUAUUGGAGCGGCCGAUGGCAGAUUAGCUAGUUGGUGGGGUAAAGGCCUACCAAGGCGACGAUCUGUAGCUGGUCUGAGAGGACGACCAGCCACACUGGGACUGAGACACGGCCCAGACCCCUACGGGAGGCAGCAGUGGGGAAUUUUGGACAAUGGGCGAAAGCCUGAUCCAGCAAUGCCGCGUGUGUGAUGAAGGCCUUCGGGUUGUAAAGCACUUUUGGCGGGAACGAAAAGGACUGUGCCAAUACCACGGUUCGAUGACGGUACCCGCAGAAUAAGCACCGGCUAACUACGUG
rnacentral:rRNA from 1 species